ACGGGAGGCAGCAGUGGGGAAUAUUGCACAAUGGGGGAAACCCUGAUGCAGCGACGCCGCGUGAGCGAAGAAGUAUUUCGGUAUGUAAAGCUCUAUCAGCAGGGAAGAAAAUGACGGUACCUGACUAAGAAGCUCCGGCUAAAUACGUGCCAGCAGCCGCGGUAAUACGUAUGGAGCAAGCGUUAUCCGGAUUUACUGGGUGUAAAGGGAGCGUAGACGGAACAGCAAGUCUGAUGUGAAAGGCGGGGGCUCAACUCCUGGACUGCAUUGGAAACUGCUGAUCUUGAGUGUCGGAGAGGUAAGCGGAAUUCCUAGUGUAGCGGUGAAAUGCGUAGAUAUUAGGAGGAACACCAGUGGCGAAGGCGGCUUACUGGACGAUCACUGACGUUGAGGCUCGAAAGCGUGGGGAGCAAACAGGAUUAGAUACCCUGGUA
rnacentral:rRNA from 2 species